GAUGAACGCUGGCGGCGUGCUUAACACAUGCAAGUCGAACGGGAAAUAUUUCAUUGAGACUUCGGUGGAUUUGAUUUAUUUCUAGUGGCGGACGGGUGAGUAACGCGUGGGUAACCUGCCUUAUACAGGGGGAUAACAGUCAGAAAUGGCUGCUAAUACCGCAUAAGCGCACAGAGCUGCAUGGCUCAGUGCGAAAAACUCCGGUGGUAUAAGAUGGACCCGCGUUGGAUUAGCUUGUUGGUGAGGUAACGGCCCACCAAGGCGACGAUCCAUAGCCGGCCUGAGAGGGUGAGCGGCCACAUUGGGACUGAGACACGGCCCAGACUCCUACGGGAGGCAGAAGUGGGGAAUAUUGCACAAUGGGGGAAACCCUGAUGCAGCGACGCCGCGUGAAGGAAGAAGUAUCUCGGUAUGUAAGCUUCUAUCAGCAGGGAAGAUAGUGACGGUACCUGACUAAGAAGCCCCGGCUAACUACGUGCCAGCCGCCGCAGUAA
rnacentral:rRNA from 1 species